GUGUUGGGUGUGUAUAACACCAUAAAUACCCCAGUCAGCUGUAAAUAGCCUUUUAUGCAAGUGCCAUUACUGGAAUUCAUGUGUGUGUGGGAACUAAAAGAUGAAGGUAUUACUGUACGUGUGUUUUAUUUUGUUUGUUACCGAUGAAGCAACUGGACAGACAACUCACCCUGCCUGUGGUAAUGUUAAUGACUUUGACCGAUGUUUGGAUAAUGCGGGGAUCUGUGAUGAGACAAUUAGCAGAUGUACCUGUUUCGAGGGACAACCAUUCUGUCGGUGCAACAGUCAAAAGGGUGAGUUUUACAUUGAUGAAAACUGCACUCAGAGAUGGACAGUAGUGACCUUUGCCCUGGUGGCAUCUCUUCCUGGUCUUACACUCGCUGUGCUGGUGGGGUUGAUUGUUUAUGUGAUAAUGUUACCAUCAAACAAGAGCCACACAGGGUGAGAAUGACAAA